rnacentral:rRNA from 1 species
UACGAAGGGGGCUAGCGUUGCUCGGAAUCACUGGGCGUAAAGGGUGCGUAGGCGGGUCUUUAAGUCAGGGGUGAAAUCCUGGAGCUCAACUCCAGAACUGCCUUUGAUACUGAAGAUCUUGAGUUCGGGAGAGGUGAGUGGAACUGCGAGUUUAGAGGUGAAAUUCGUAGAUAUUCGCAAGAACACCAGUGGCGAAGGCGGCUCACUGGCCCGAUACUGACGCUGAGGCACGAAAGCGUGGGGAGCAAACAGG